CGAUGAUAAGAAUUGACGUGCCCUACAAGUAAUCACACCACGCAAUAUCUACUUUGUAGAUAUUCUUUGGGAUCUCCAGGUCUAAUAAUGAUUCUAUUAUAAAAGGUCUUCUCCUUAACUCAUAUAAAUAUACCCUUCUAGAGUUUAUUUUUGAUAACGCAAUUCCUACACACUUAUUCUUUUGCAAAUUGUUUGAGUCUUAACAUUGUGUACCAACUUAAAUCUUAAAAUUUUAUACAUCAUUCAUAACCUUAGCUGGACUGUAAUAGAAGUGUCAGAUAUGUAUUCACAAAAGUUUUGCAACUCAUUCCUACUUGGGCUUUUUGUUCCUGUACUAUCUGUUACUGGUGUUAGAAGUGAUUCCCCAUUGGUUUUGUGCACAUUGAGCAUUUUCCUUUUAAAUCUUUGAUGAGUCUGCCAAGUAUUUCCUUGAUUUUUUGCGGAGCUUCCGCUAGAACCUUCACUGUCAAAGACUUAAGUGGAGGCAAAUGAGUAUGGCUGAUUAUCCCAGGCUUUGACUGUUGCUGCUAUGUUAUCUGUAUAAGAAAAGCCUGAUAUAUUCAGGGCAUUGGCGACAGCAUUUGCUUGUUAUGUUUCUGGAACUCAUUGAUUGUAGGUGAGAGGGAUGAAGUUUGUCAAGGAUGUAAGGAAACACCUAUAAAAAAAUCAAGCAGAAAAUAGCAAGGGGCGAGUAAGCUACAUAAAUAAAGAGCUUGCAAUUACAUCAUGUUCACGAAACACCGCUAUGAACUGACAAAAUGACUAUUCUCCUGAAUGUUACUCGAUAACAUGACGCUCUUAUAUAUAAUGGUCUACUGCAAUAGAUUUGCUUACUGAUAAGUGCUGAAUAAGUAACAUGCUCGAAGUACGUGAUUUCUGGUUUAUCAAAGCACCGACCAAUUAAGUUAUUUAAACCGGGAAAGGAAAACGAGAAACUUUGAGUUGGAAAUUGAUCGUGACUAGGCAUAUCUCACUACAAUUAGUCAAAGGUUUGAGUAGUGAGUUUCUUUGCUAAAACCAGAUGAUGAAGUGACUAUGUUGUGUACCUGGACUCAUUGCAACAACCUGCCCAUUCCUGCGCACUGUAUGUGCCGUGAAUAUUGCUUGGGUCACACCCAUUCUGGACAAAGUAAAUAAUCUAGAUAUCAAGAAGCUGAGUGGCGGGAUCGGUCAUAUUGAAGAGCAGCUGGAGGGAAAUCUUUCUGAUUUGCCAAAGAAAGUGGAUGUUGCAGCAGUUCCUGAUGAUCGUGAGAGUAUAAUACAGGUAGCUAGGAAACGACUUCGUGCUCGUAAAGAAAAGAAAUGAGCUUAUUCAGUACUUGUAUAUAUAACAAUACCAAAAUUCCUCAAUUGAGGACCAAAGAGAGAGAGAAGAAAAAAGAAUGUGUGUUACUAAUCUCAUCAAUCGACCGUAUCUUUUACUUUUAUUUAAGGGAGUGGUACUGUGGCAUGGAGAAGGGGAGAAUAUUUGUAUAUUUACAAAAAAUAUAAGGUAAUGGCAUUCAACACCCAAGGCUUACCCACUGAGCAAUCCCUCUCUUUUUCCAAUUAAUUUUCAAACAGUGUCUCGGAUUCAAACUCUCACUUGUAAUAAAAAGGAACAAUACUUUAGCAUAGCCGCAAGGAUCUCUUGCUCCUGCGUUCAAGCCGCAAGGAUCUAUUAAGUCUUCUCCUUGCCAAGAGUGCACAGAUCACCACGAUUCCACCAUCCAUUACCGCUUUCUGGAGUUUCUGAACUUGUACGUUGUCAGCUUGUUGAUAACGAAAGAUAUUUGAACUCAGGAGGGAGUAGAUACCAUAAAUUCAUAUAACUCGACUCUCUUGAGCUAUUUGAUCAUGACAAUAAAUAACACAUGCAUACUUGUCUUAAAAGAGAACAAUAGUGACUCCAACUAAUCGGAAGUUUAAGGGAGUCAAGAAUAACAACCCCAACCAAAAGGACUUGGUUUGGAAAUCACAUUAGGGACUUAAGUGAGUCCCAAAUAUCCCAAUAGGGGCUGAAUGCAGGCAAAGGUUGAGAAUUGUUUGAUUUGAGCGAUGAGACCAAAAGGUGAGUAGCGAUGAUGUCUUCCCAACACCACUUGAGUCCAGGAGCAAGAGAUCCUUGUGGAUAUGCUACGGUUUUGUACUAUUUGUGCAAUAGAAUAAGUUCAUCACUGUGAGAGAGAGUGAAAGUGCAGGAAUAGCAGAGUGUAAGUGUAAUGCCUUAAAAUCCUGGCUUCAGACGGUGCCCGUGAAUUCUGCUGGUCAGAGUGCAAGCGUAAUAGCAGAGUCAGCAAGGUGGGCUCGUGGCUUCCGACAAGCAGUGGUAGAUUCAGUCUGGUGAAAUUGUUCAAUCAAGCCAUACAUCAAUAUUUUCUGCUCUAAUGCUUGUGACUCAGGCAAAUGAUGUUGAGGCUUCGAAGAAACUGAUUGAGGGGGCAGACGUUGAUCUCAAUGAGCAAGAU